CAACAACGGAUCUCUUGGUUCUGGCAUCGAUGAAGAACGCAGCGAAAUGCGAUAAGUAAUGUGAAUUGCAGAAUUCAGUGAAUCAUCGAAUCUUUGAACGCACAUUGCGCCCUCUGGUAUUCCGGAGGGCAUGCCUGUUCGAGCGUCAUUU
rnacentral:rRNA from 1 species